UCUGGGGAAGCUGGCAAAGAAAUCCAUCAAAGAAAUUCAGAGGUGGACACUUGCCCGUCUGGAACUUGAGGAUGUGUAGCAUAGUUACUGUAGUCACUGCUGAAGAGGAAGAGGGAGGAGUCAUCGCCAUGUUGCCAUGAUCUUGUCGUUAUGGAGACAGACGUGCUGGGCUUCAUCACAACGCUGCUUCCCUCCAGAGAAGGAGCCUAGCAAGACAGGAGGCUUCGACCACAUCUCUGUUCAAUCCUGUUCUCUAGAGAAGGGCCCCACCCAUGGACUUUUUCCUGGGUGAAUGGGAAUCUUGGGAUAUUUUUAGAUGAAGAAAUUGAUAUGUCCAAGACUACCGGUUUGUAAGUAGCAUAGCUGAUGUUGAUAUCGGGAAGCAUGAAAAGUGGGAAGAGGAGAAGAAAGCCAAUCCAAGGUUCCUACAACACUAUCUAAGGCCAGGAGGGGCCAUGUGGAAUGAGAGUGGCUGUGGACAGAGCUCCUGGAACAAAGAAGUGAUGCAAUUUGAUUGAGAAGCCAGCAGAAUCAAAAGGAAUAAAAUCUUUCCAUUUGCAAUGCA